AAGAGCUUAGCUGCAAAAUGUAUAAAAAGAGAAAUGCUGCUUAUGAUGGUGUGCUUAAUCUGAGACGUGCCAGUCUCCUUGCACCGCUUUGAGAUCUCAAAUAAACUUUGAUUGCUUCUCCACCCUGGUGUGUUCAUUGGCGCAAAGCACACCGGGCAACGAACCCCACUAUUGCUUUCCUCGGGCACUCUGUGCCGGCAACAGUCUUGGUGUCCCUGGGUGGGGUCGAGGCUGAAAUUUAGCCUUGCCCGGACCCCUCUCAGAGGUCGACGGAUUGCGGCAACGACCGACGCCCAGCGCGCACUGGUGACUUCAUCAGGGGCCUCGGUGGAGACGUGGUUUGGUCGACCCCAGAGGGCACAACGGUGCAACGCACUCGUACAGUGGAGAAGCGGCUGCGGGCGACUGUGGGGAACCAGUCCCGUGGAUAGGGCAACGGUGUGAAACUGGACCCUUGGAUAAGGUAUACCAAAGUUUUGCAGCCUCUCCCACUGGAUGCCCCUGUCCACUCCCUGCAACCAGGUGACUCCGUUCUCGUUCAUACCUGGAAGGACGAGCCUCUCCAAGAGAAGUGGAAGGGACCCCACACUGUCGCACACAGCAGCAAAGGUUGAGGGACACAAAAACUGGAUCCAUCACUCUCGUCUAAAAGCAGUGCCCGCUCCUGAACAGUGGACCGUCCAGCCUAAGGAAAAGACUGCCAGCGACGACCUGGGACUUAAACUGUUAUUCAAAAGACAAUAAGGUCUGCUGGGAAUGCCCUGUGACCUCUUUGGACAGCCACAGCACACUCCCCGCGAGAACUUUAAGCAUUGGUUGUGUUUAUUUUCACAGGGCCGGCCUAACCUGGUGGCCUGGUCCCUUUUGUUUUUAGUCUGCCUGCUAUUGGUAAUUGUUAUUUUGUGGGUAUUUGGGGAAUUGUAAUUGUUAGUCCCCAGGGUUACCUGCCCAAAAUGGAAUCAGGUCCAGGGUCUGCCACUGUGUUACUCUUUGCCAUAGGGCACUCCUCUCAUUGACUCCCAUUUCCCCCCAGGCACAUGCGGGAUGGAGAAAAAUCCCUAUCAAUUUAGAAACAAAUACGUAUAAGGCCCUGAAGGUUUGCUUUGCCCAAGAGUUUAACCUCUCUAACUGCUGGGUAUGCUCCCAAAUCCGGCACCAUGCGGCAGGGUUACCUUGGAGGGUGGUCCCCCAAAAUUGGUCAGAUAUCUGCUGGGGAUGGUUCAGUAGGGAAAAAAUACCUCGGGUACCCCCUGGUCGCAAAACUGUACCAUUGAAUCCCAGUAUGCAUUAAGGGACGACCCCUGGAAGCCGCAGGCCAAUUCAACACAUCUCCCUUCCCCUAUUAGGCUGCGGUCAGUGGUCCCUGGGUUGGUGUGCUAUCGACAGUUCAAGUCUAGCAAUCACACCUGGCCCGCUGGAAAUAGCACCUGUCAGUAUUAUUUAUCCCCUGACAGUGACGCUUCCAUCCCUGUCUAUGUUAAUGGCAGAUCCGACUCUACCGUCUGGUUUGGAGCGUUUAGUGAUACCCAAACAAGUAGAUGGAGUAGCGGUUAUAAUGGCUUGGUAGGGAAUGGCCACUCCUUUUACAUUUGCGGUACCUCUGCCUAUAAGUGGCUACCACAUCGGUGAUAUCGAAGCUGCUAUCUAGAAUAUCUUGCCCCUCCCCUUCGUGUCCUCCCUAAACUGCCCCCUGGCCGCCCCAGACAGUGUAGAUCUUUGUAUACCGCCCCAGAGCCCAUUAAGAAACCCAACCUGUUUCCUAUGAUCCUCCUCCCAUCCUAUGGGGUGGGACGGCUGGCUCAAUUUUAUCGUAGGCUCUCUGUGUUUCUCACCAAGUCCGCCAAUGAAACCUUGGCCAUAGAAAAAAGCCUUAACUCAGAGCUUUACCAGCUCCGGUUGCUGUCCCUGCAAAACAGACAGGCCUUAAAUUAUGUUUUAGCCUCCCAGGGCGGGGUGUGUGCCCUUAUUAGGAGUGAAUGUUGUACUUAUGUCCCGGAAAACUCACAGGACAUUAACAAGCACGUCCUGUCGGCC